GAGUUUGAUCCUGGCUCAGAACGAACGCUGGCGGCAGGCCUAAUACAUGCAAGUCGAGCGCGCCCUUCGGGGUGAGCGGCGGACGGGUGAGUAACGCGUGGGAAUAUGCCCUUCUCUAAGGAAUAGCCUCUGGAAACGGAGAGUAAUACCUUAUACGCCCUUUGGGGGAAAGAUUUAUCGGAGAAGGAUUAGCCCGCGUUAGAUUAGGUAGUUGGUGGGGUAAUGGCCUACCAAGCCUACGAUCUAUAGCUGGUUUGAGAGGAUGAUCAGCCACACUGGGACUGAGACACGGCCCAGACUCCUACGGGAGGCAGCAGUAGGGAAUCUUAGACAAUGGGGGCAACCCUGAUCUAGCCAUGCCGCGUGUGUGAUGAAGGCCCUAGGGUCGUAAAGCACUUUCGCCAGAGAUGAUAAUGACAGUAUCUGGUAAAGAAACCCCGGCUAACUCCGUGCCAGCAGCCGCGGUAAUACGGAGGGGGUUAGCGUUGUUCGGAAUUACUGGGCGUAAAGCGCACGUAGGCGGAUUAGUAAGUUAGAGGUGAAAUCCCAGGGCUCAACCCUGGAACUGCCUUUAAUACUGCUAGUCUUGAGUUCGAGAGAGGUAAGUGGAAUUCCGAGUGUAGAGGUGAAAU
rnacentral:rRNA from 1 species